UUGAAAGGGAAACGAUUGAAGUCAGUCAUGCUGGCGGGAAUCAACUUAGGGGAAACUCUGAGUGCACUUCUUCGCUUGGCAGGUUAGCGUCGAUUUUGGAUGUCAUAAAAUGACUAGGGGAAGGUAGCUCUUUCGGGAGUGUUAAGCCCCUAGUAUAUGUGAUGUCUGGGAUCGAGGAUUGCAACGGAUACCUUUUGGGCUAGCCGUCUAGUCUCUAAUACGAAGUUGGGUUAUGGACAGCAUGCUGACUGUGAUCUGAUUUUCGGUUAAAAGAUUAGAGCAAGUGUAAAUUCGUUAAGGAUGUUGACGUA
rnacentral:rRNA from 1 species